rnacentral:rRNA from 1 species
AUUGAACGCUGGCGGCAGGCCUAACACAUGCAAGUCGAGCGGCAGCGGGAAAGUAGCUUGCUACUUUUGCCGGCGAGCGGCGGACGGGUGAGUAAUGCCUGGGAAAUUGCCCAGUCGAGGGGGAUAACAGUUGGAAACGACUGCUAAUACCGCAUACGCCCUACGGGGGAAAGCAGGGGACCUUCGGGCCUUGCGCGAUUGGAUAUGCCCAGGCGGGAUUAGCUAGUUGGUGGGGAAAUGGCUCACCAAGGCGACGAUCCCUAGCUGGUCUGAUAGGAUGAUCAGCCAAACUGGAACUGAGACACGGUCCAGACUCCUACGGGAGUCAGCAGUGGGGAAUAUUGCACAAUGGGGGAAACCCUGAUGCAGCCAUGCCGCGUGUGUGAAGAAGGCCUUCGGGUUGUAAAGCACUUUCAGCGAGGAGGAAAGGUUGAUGCCUAAUACGUAUCAACUGUGACGUUACUCGCAGAAGAAGCACCGGCUAACUCCGUGCCAGCCGCCGCCGUAAGAC